GUCGAACGAUGAAGCGGUGCUUGCACCGUGGAUUAGUGGCGAACGGGUGAGUAACACGUGAGUAACCUGCCCUUGACUCUGGGAUAAGCCUGGGAAACUGGGUCUAAUACCGGAUACGACCAUUGCCCGCAUGGGUUGGUGGUGGAAAGCUUUUGUGGUUUUGGAUGGACUCGCGGCCUAUCAGCUUGUUGGUGAGGUAAUGGCUCACCAAGGCGACGACGGGUAGCCGGCCUGAGAGGGUGACCGGCCACACUGGGACUGAGACACGGCCCAGACUCCUACGGGAGGCAGCAGUGGGGAAUAUUGCACAAUGGGCGAAAGCCUGAUGCAGCGACGCCGCGUGAGGGAUGACGGCCUUCGGGUUGUAAACCUCUUUCAGUAGGGAAGAAGCGAAAGUGACGGUACCUGCAGAAGAAGCGCCGGCUAACUACGUGCCAGCA
rnacentral:rRNA from 1 species